GAUGAACGCUAGCUACAGGCUUAACACAUGCAAGUCGAGGGGCAGCAUGAUUGAAGCUUGCUUCAAUCGAUGGCGACCGGCGCACGGGUGAGUAACACGUAUCCAACCUGCCGAUAACUCGGGGAUAGCCUUUCGAAAGAAAGAUUAAUACCCGAUAGUAUAGUAUUUCCGCAUGGUUUCACUAUUAAAGAACUUCGGUUAUCGAUGGGGAUGCGUUCCAUUAGAUAGUUGGCGGGGUAACGGCCCACCAAGUCAACGAUGGAUAGGGGUUCUGAGAGGAAGGGCCCCCACAGUGGAACUGAGACACGGUCCAAACUCCUACGGGAGGCAGCAGUGAGGAAUAUUGGUCAAUGGACGAGAGUCUGAACCAGCCAAGUAGCGUGAAGGAUGACUGCCCUAUGGGUUGUAAACUUCUUUUAUACGGGAAUAAAGUGGAGUAUGCAUACUCCUUUGUAUGUACCGUAUGAAUAAGGAUCGGCUAACUCCGUG
rnacentral:rRNA from 1 species